GGACAGAUGGCCGAGCGGUUUAAGGCACCGGUCUUGAAAACCGGCAAGGGGUUGCCCCUUCGCGAGUUCGAAUCUCGCUCUGUCCGCCA
rnacentral:tRNA from 1 species